rnacentral:rRNA from 1 species
AUAUUUGUUAAAGAAAUUCGCUGAUAGAUGGGCAUGCGUUCCAUUCCGUAGUUGGUGAGGUAACGGCUCACCAAGCCGACGAUGGAUAGGGGAACUGAGAGGUUGGUCCCCCACACUGGUACUGAGACACGGACCAGACUCCUACGGGAGGCAGCAGUGAGGAAUAUUGGUCAAUGGGCGAGAGCCUGAACCAGCCAAGUCGCGUGAAGGAAGAAGGAUCUAUGGUUCGUAAACUUCUUUUGCAGGGGAAUAAAGUGCAGGACGUGUCCUGUUUUGUAUGUACCCUGAGAAUAAGGAUCGGCUAACUCCGUGCCAGCAGCCGCGGUAAUACGGAGGAUCCGAGCGUUAUCCGGAUUUAUUGGGUUUAAAGGGUGCGUAGGUGGUUUGAUAAGUCAGCGGUGAAAGUUUGCAGCUUAACUGUAAAAAUGCCGUUGAAACUGUCGGACUUGAGUGUAAAUGAGGUAGGCGGAAUGCGUGGUGUAGCGGUGAAAUGCUUAGAUAUCACGAAGAACUCCGAUUG